rnacentral:rRNA from 1 species
GACGAACGCUGGCGGCGUGCUUAACACAUGCAAGUCGAACGGAAAGGCCCUGCUUUUGUGGGGUUCUCGAGUGGCGAACGGGUGAGUAACACGUGAGUAACCUGCCCUUGACUUUGGGAUAACUUCAGGAAACUGGGGCUAAUACCGGAUAGGAGCUCCUGCUGCAUGGUGGGGGUUGGAACGUUUCGGCGGUUGGGGAUGGACUCGCGGCUUAUCAGCUUGUUGGUGGGGUAGUGGCUUACCAAGGCUUUGACGGGUAGCCGGCCUGGGAGGGUGACCGGCGACAUUGGGACUGAGAGACGGCCCAGACGCCAACGGGGGGCAGCAGGGGGGAAUAUUACACAGUGGGCGGAAGCCUGAGGAGGAAACCCCGGGUGCGGGAUGACGGCUUUCGGGUGAUAAACCGCUUUCGCCUGUGACGAAGCGUGAGUGACGGUAAUGGGUAAAGAAGCACCGGCUAACUACGUG